rnacentral:rRNA from 1 species
GAUGAACGCUGGCGGCGUGCCUAAUACAUGCAAGUCGAGCGAACGGACGAGAAGCUUGCUUCUCUGAUGUUAGCGGCGGACGGGUGAGUAACACGUGGAUAACCUACCUAUAAGACUGGGAUAACUUCGGGAAACCGGAGCUAAUACCGGAUAAUAUUUUGAACCGCAUGGUUCAAAAGUGAAAGACGGUCUUGCUGUCACUUAUAGAUGGAUCCGCGCUGCAUUAGCUAGUUGGUAAGGUGACGGCUUACCAAGGCAACGAUGCAUAGCCGACCUGAGAGGGUGAUCGGCCACACUGGAACUGAGACACGGUCCAGACUCCUACGGGAGGCAGCAGUAGGGAAUCUUCCGCAAUGGGCGAAAGCCUGACGGAGCAACGCCGCGUGGGUGAUGAAGGUCUUCGGAUCGUAAAACUCUGUUAUUAGGGAAGAACAUAUGUGUAAGUAACUGUGCACAUCUUGACGGUACCUAAUCAGAAAGCCACGGCUAACUACGUG